rnacentral:rRNA from 1 species
UACGGAGGGAGCAAGCGUUACUCGGAAUUAUUGGGCGUAAAGGGCGCGUAGGCGAUUUGAAAAGUCUUGUGUGAAAGCCCCGAGCUUAACUCGGGAAGUGCACAAGAAACUGUUGAAUUUGAGUUCCGGAGAGGAAGGCAGAAUUCCCGGUGUAGCGGUGAAAUGACGUAGAUAUCGGGAGGAAUACCAGUGGCGAAGGCGGCCUUCUGGACGGAUACUGACGCUGAGGCGCGAAAGCCAGGGGAGCAA